rnacentral:rRNA from 1 species
GAGUAGCUUGCUACUUGCUGACGACCGGCGCACGGGUGCGUAACGCGUAUAGAAUCUGCCUUCUACAGAGGGAUAGCCUUUAGAAAUGAAGAUUAAUACCUCAUAAUACUGGGAUGUGGCAUCACAUUUUAGUUAAAGAUUUAUCGGUAGAAGAUGACUAUGCGUCCUAUUAGCUAGAUGGUAAGGUAACGGCUUACCAUGGCGACGAUAGGUAGGGGUCCUGAGAGGGAGAUCCCCCACACUGGUACUGAGACACGGACCAGACUCCUACGGGAGGCAGCAGUGAGGAAUAUUGGUCAAUGGAGGCAACUCUGAACCAGCCAUGCCGCGUGCAGGAUGACUGCCCUAUGGGUUGUAAACUGCUUUUAUAUGGGAAGAAACAAUUCUACGUGUAGGAUCUUGACGGUACCAUAAGAAUAAGCACCGGCUAACUCCGUGCCAGCAGCCGCGGUAAUACGGAGGGUGCAAGCGUUAUCCGGAAUCAUUGGGUUUAAAGGGUCCGCAGGCGGUCAAUUAAGUCAGAGGUGAAAUCCCGCAGCUUAACUGUGGAACUGCCUUUGAUACUGGUUGACUUGAGUUAUACGGAAGUAGAUAGAAUGUGUAGUGUAGCGGUGAAAUGCAUAGAUAUUACACAGAAUACCGAUUGCGAAAGGCAGUCUACUACGUAUAUACUGACGCUCAUGGACGAAAGCGUGGGGGAGCGAACAGGGAUUAGAUACCCUGGUAGUCCACGCCGUAAACGAUGGGACACUA